AUUGAACUCAGGGGCACUUGACCACUAAGCCACAUCCCCAGCCCUGUUUUGUAUUUAUCUAGAGACAGGGUCGUACUGAGUUACUUAGCACCUUGCCUUUGCUGAGGCUGAUUUCAAACUCAUGAUCCUCUAAAGCCACUGGGAUUACAAAUGUGGACCACCAUGCCCAGCUUAAAAUCUUAAAGUUUGUUGCAAUUUUGACAACAUAUAGGGAAGAGAAAAAAAAAGAAACAGAAAAGAAUAAAAAAUAUGGGACAUUUUCUGUGAUAAUUGAGACAGGAGAAUUGCAAGUUCAAAGCCAGCCUCAAAAUGAGACCCUGUCUCAAAAAAAGAAAGAAAGAAAAAAAAAAGGACUGGGGAUGUGGCUCAGUGGCUAAGGACUGCAGGGUUCAAUCCCUGGAACAACAACAACAACAACAAAAAAAAACUUUUAGCCAGCCUAGAUGUCCAUCAGUGGAUUAAUGUAUUUAAAAAAAAAUGGGGCUGGGGCUGGGGCUUAGUGGUAGAGCGCCUCCCUAGUAUGUGUGAGGCACUGGGUUGGAUUCUCAGCACCACAUAUAAAUAAAUAAAAAUAAAGUUCUAUCAAUAACUAAAAAAAAUAAAAUUUAAAAAAAAUGUGGUAUAGGGCUGGGGUUGUGGCUCAGUGGCAGAGUGCUUGCCUGGCAUGUGUGUGGUCCUGGGUUCCGUCCCCAGCACCAAAGUUUUUUUAAAAUGUAUUCAAUUUUGCGAUAGGAGAUGGUUCUCAUUCAGCAGUGGUUCCACUUAGGAUUUUCAACUUUACAAUGGUGGGAAAGUGAUAUAUGUUCUGUAGAAAUGUCAAGUUUUGAACUUUGAUCUUUCCCUGGGCUCUCUCCAUGCUGGGCAGUGGCCCCCAGAACUGUUCCCAGCUGGCCACCCAUCCCAGGGCACAGAGUCAGGCGGGUGCUGUGCUGCCAGGCUGGGGUGCUCAGGAGGUCGGGUGUCUUCUGUGCGUCCUUGACCUACGAUGUUUUCCUCUUACAGUGGGUUGGCUCAUCAGGAGGUUACCCAGCAUAAGUCAAGAAGAGUCUCUAUCAGCACAAACAGGUGGAAACAAAAUGUAAAACACAAUGCCACUGGGGCAGGGGCUUGGCUCAGGCAGAGCGCUUCUCAGCCCGCGUGGGGCACUGAUCCCCAGCAGCACAUAAAGACAAAUAAGUAAAAUAAAGGUACUGUGUCCAUCUACAACUAAGAAUUGAAAAAAUACAAUCCAUUUACAAAUGCUAGACAUUAAAUAUUAGGGUAUAAAUACUACUGGACAUUUAUGCUGACAGCUGCACCAGCUGCCAAUGAUGAAGCCAAGGAAGAGCUGGACAAGCGGAGGGGCCACUGGGUUCAUGUAUUGGAUGAUUCUCCCUGAACUGACCUUUAGAUUUAAUAAAAUUCCAGCAAGAUUUCCUUUGGUAGUUCUUGAUGAGCAUAUUCUAAAAUUCAUGGGGGAAGGCAGAGGAACCAGAGAAACUAGAAUUGCCUAAGCAAUUUGGAAAAAAAA
rnacentral:lncRNA from 1 species